CAGGCUGUCUCCACCCGAGACUCAGUGAAAUUGAACUCGCUGUGAAGAUGCAGUGUACCCGCGGCAAGACGGAAAGACCCCGUGAACCUUUACUAUAGCUUGACACUGAACAUUGAGCCUUGAUGUGUAGGAUAGGUGGGAGGCUUUGAAGUGUGGACGCCAGUCUGCAUGGAGCCGGCCUUGAAAUACCACCCUUUAAUGUUUGAUGUUCUAACGUUGGCCCCUGAUCGGGGUUGCGGACAGUGUCUGGUGGGUAGUUUGACUGGGGCGGUCUCCUCCUAAAGAGUAACGGAGGAGCACGAAGGUUGGCUAAUCCUGGUCGGACAUCAGGAGGUUAGUGCAAUGGCAUAAGCCAGCUUGACUGCGAGCGUGACGGCGCGAGCAGGUGCGAAAGCAGGUCAUAGUGAUCCGGUGGUUCUGAAUGGAAGGGCCAUCGCUCAACGGAUAAAAGGUACUCCGGGGAUAACAGGCUGAUACCGCCCAAGAGUUCAUAUCGACGGCGGUGUUUGGCACCUCGAUGUCGGCUCAUCACAUCCUGGGGCUGAAGUAGGUCCCAAGGGUAUGGCUGUUCGCCAUUUAAAGUGGUACGCGAGCUGGGUUUAGAACGUCGUGAGACAGUUCGGUCCCUAUCUGCCGUGGGCGCUGGAGAACUGAGGGGGGCUGCUCCUAGUACGAGAGGACCGGAGUGGACGCAUCACUGGUGUUCGGGUUGUCAUGCCAAUGGCACUGCCCGGUAGCUAAAUGCGGAAGAGAUAAGUGCUGAAAGCAUCUAAGCACGAAACUUGCC
rnacentral:rRNA from 1 species